rnacentral:lncRNA from 1 species
AGGGGGUAGUGGAGCUGUGCGGAAUCCGCCACAGGAAGUGGAGCAGGGUGGCGAUGGUUACUGCGGCCUGUCAGGGAAUGAUGGAACUGCGCGGAGUCCGCCACAGGAAGUGGAGCAGGAUCAUGGUUGUUAUUGUGAUCUGCCAGGGGGCACAGAUCUGUUGAUCGAGGCUUGGCAGUGGUCGGAGUUCGGCCUCUGUAGGAGUCUGGGAGGGGUCCUCCUUUCGGUUGAGGUCGUGGGUGGAGUCCGGCUCCUGUAAGAGUCAGAACCCUCUGCAAUCAAAGUUAAAGAUGAAGUCCGGCUCCCGUAGGAGUUCGGAUGAAGCUUACCAGUAGCUGAUACUGA